GUAUAGACACCCAUAAAUAAAAUAUAACAUUUAAUAUAAUAAUAAUACCAUUAUAAAAGUAUAUUAAAUAUAUUUCAGUUUACUGCAUUUAGAUUUCAGGUUAGUUUUAUACCUUAUUAAAUUAUUUGUGUCUUAUCGUAUUUGAUUUAAACAAACAUUUCACAGACUUUGGGAUUUCAAAACAUCUUGAGGAUCCCCAAAAGUUGUGGAAAAUAUUCUAUGGACGGAGAAAAGUUGAACUUUUUGAAAGGUACAAAUGCUGUUACAUCUGGCAUAAAACUAAGACAGCUUUUCAUAAAAAGGUCAUACCAACAGUCAAACGUGGUGGCGGUAGUGUGAUGGUCUGGGGCUGCUUUGCUGCUUCUGGACCUGGAUGACUUGCCGUAACUGGUAGAAUCAUAAAUUCUGUUGUCUAUCAGAAUUUCUUUCAAGUUCAAGAGCGCUCAAGUUAUGCAGCAGCACAAUGAUAGUGACACACCAGCAAGUCCACCUCUGCAUGACUAAAAAAAACAAACCUCUGAGCAUGCUUUUGAUGGACUUCAGCAUGACUCAAAAACAAGCCGACUGAAUUAAAAUAACUUUGCAAAGAACAUUUAACCAAAGACUCAUCGCCAGCCAGUUUAUUAGGUUUUGUAUAACUUUUUCUAUUAAUAAAUUAAGAUUUGAAAAGUCUGCAUUUGCUUGGGUUACUUUAGUAUAAUAUUAAAACUUGUUUGAUGAUCUGAAGCAAAAGCACUGUAGGGGUACUUAAACAAUCACAAACAUCAAAGCUUUUUGUGUGGUUUGAAUAAACUCAUUAACAUUUAUGUUUUUCUAAACACAAUAACUGAUAUGUUCCUUAUGAAAAAAAAUUAUGUUUAUUUUGCAUUAACAGAGGACUGUAAACACAAAUAAUAUAACAGUAUAAGUGGUUUGUCCUGAGGCGCACAAACCGAUUCAUAAAAGAAUAUUAAUGACACAUCGGUGAGUCUGAUGAUGUCACUUAUUAUCAGCUUGAGCGGAAGAAGACUUUGACAGUGUUGUUGUAGAUUGUGUUGCCCAGCUCCA